GACGAACGCUGGCGGCGCGCCUAACACAUGCAAGUCGAACGAGCGAGAGAGAGCUUGCUUUCUCGAGCGAGUGGCGAACGGGUGAGUAACGCGUGAGGAACCUGCCUCAAAGAGGGGGACAACAGUUGUAAACGACUGCUAAUACCGCAUAAGCCCACGGCUCGGCAUCGAGCAGGGGGAAAAGGAGCAAUCCGCUUUGAGAUGGCCUCGCGUCCGAUUAGCUAGUUGGUGGGGUAACGGCCCACCAAGGCGACGAUCGGUAGCCGGACUGAGAGGUUGAACGGCCACAUUGGGACUGAGACACGGCCCAGACUCCUACGGGAGGCAGCAGUGGGGAAUAUUGUACAAUGGGGGAAACCCUGAUGCAGCGACGCCGCGUGGAGGAAGAAGGUCUUCGGAUUGUAAACUCCUGUUGUUGGGGAAGAUAAUGACGGUACCCAACAAGGAAGUGACGGCUAACUACGUG
rnacentral:rRNA from 1 species